rnacentral:tRNA from 1 species
GCCCGGAUAGCUCAGCCGGUAGAGCAGAGGACUGAAAAUCCUCGUGUCGGCGGUUCAAUUCCGUCUCCGGGCACCA